rnacentral:rRNA from 1 species
GAUGAACGCUGGCGGCGUGCCUAAUACAUGCAAGUCGAGCGAACAGACGAGGAGCUUGCUCCUUUGACGUUAGCGGCGGACGGGUGAGUAACACGUAGGUAACCUACCUAUAAGACUGGGAUAACUUCGGGAAACCGGAGCUAAUAUCGGAUAAUAUUUCGAACCGCAUGGUUCGAUAGUGAAAGAUGGCUUUGCUAUCACUUAUAGAUGGACCUGCGCCGUAUUAGCUAGUUGGUAAGGUAACGGCUUACCAAGGCAACGAUACGUAGCCGACCUGAGAGGGUGAUCGGCCACACUAGAACUGAGACACGGUCCAGACUCCUACGGGAAGCAGCAGUAGGGAAUCUUCCGCAAUGGGCGAAAGCCUGACGGAGCAACGCCGCGUGAGUGAUGAAGGUCUUCGGAUCGUAAAACUCUGUUAUUAGGGAAGAACAAACGUGUAAGUAACUGUGCACGUCUUGACGGUACCUAAUCAGAAAGCCACGGCUAACUACGUG